UACAAAGUUGUAGUAGAUCAGCGACACUUAAUAUGGAACAGAGGGAGUAAUUUAUUUGGUUAUCUAUCUCCUGUGCUUAUCAGUGGCACCAUGACCAUCUCCAGCAGCUCCUCUUGGGGUAGUUGGACUUGGACAAAAAAAGUGCUCCGACAGCUCUACUUUCUUGUACGUUGGAAUCUAUAAUACCUAAAUAGUUCAUCCCCACUAUCAUGUUUCUAUUGACAUGCAAGCUAUCCACAUCAUCAAACCCACUACUACCAAUUAUAUUGACAUGCAGGCUUCCACGUCACUACACCGUGUCAGCAUUUUCUUCUUCUUAAAAUCGCUAAGUUCAUAGGCAUGGUCCAUCAACCAAUUCUCUCAUCCUGAUUAAUCACGUGUGGCCCCUUGCGUUGCGUUGGCUCCACCUUUCCUCGGCUCCUCACCUCCGGGAAACCACCAACGCAGCCGCAGAUCCGGUGCCUUCCUGUUUCCCUUGCACUUCCCCUUCUUCUUUAAUUACGAACCACUACGGCCUUCCCUGCUUCGUCUUCUUAGUAGUUCGUCUAAUAGAUCUUCCAUCGGUGCGCGAUGGCUCCUCCCGCGCUCGCCAGUCCACUCCGAAACGGACGCCGCUGGCUGCGCACAGCUAGCCACCGGUGGGUGCUUAUUCCUUCCGCCUUCCGCCGCUCGGCCGAUUCGAGAUGCAGAGACGUGAAGGACCAUGAAUACAAGAGCGCAGAUGGCCAUGAAGAGCUUGAAGCAGCGUCGUCGCAAUCAGAAUGGUGGCCGACACAAGUUCAACCUUAACAGAUGUUGGACCAUGGCCAAGAUUGCUGCAGCAUAUGCUGGUCCAUCGCCGUGCCCGCUCGCGCCGGACCUGCAUCUGGACGAGCUACAUCCUGGAUCUGAGGUUGGGCAACCUCGGCGGGUGGUUCCUGGUUCAGGUACUGCGCGUACCCCUCCUUCCACUCAUAGAAUCUGCACUUCCCCAUUGGCGUGGUGACCAGCAGUCAGGCGUUCCCCCGUUUGUACUUCCGUUGAUCCGGCCGGCCUCUGCUUUCUUCUCCAUCAACGCUGUUGUCCCAGCUUCUACCAACACAGGUUUUCCAUUAGCACGCCAUCAAUCGUUGCCUUGCUGGUGAGGCCUCCUUUCUCUAUGGGGUCGCGGUGAGCGGACACACAAGUACGCAUGGACGUCUGAACUCUGAAGCACGGUGAAGCGGGUCGAUGUGCUAGAUGUACUAUGUCCAUCCGGUUCUUCACCGGCCGUAGCACUCCUCCUGCCACGUUCAUCAGAUGAUCUGUCCACAAACGCCGAAUUGUCUCCCAACAGUAAAGUCACCGACACCCCGUAUGUACUUCUGGUUUUUUCCCCAAAAAUGUCGUUUCGUCUCCAACAGUCAGUUCCCCCGAUGUAACGCCCGUCAGGCGAUCUGUCCACAAACGCUGAUUCCUCGCCAACAUACUGUAAUUUUUGUUUUACAUUUCCAUCGUUUUUUCAUCCACUAUUGUCUGGAACAUCGAAGAAUACUGAUUUUCUUUUGCAACAAACUACAUGUUGCAGGAUGUACUACUGUUUCUCUUCUUAAAACUGGAUGAUAAAUAAUGCCUGAGCCAAUCCUGUAGACCAUGUUGAUCUGCCAUCCCAAUUUUGUUUUCAGGAAGGCAAUCUCUACAGAUGCAGACGAGUUAAAUUACAAUAAUUUUUAAUUUCAGCUGUCGAAUGAGAUGCAUAUGCCUGAACCUGUCCUCCGAGUUGGCCUCCACCAACUUGCAUAGCUCAACACAAUCCACCUCUAGGAAGGUGGCGAAUUGGGGAUGGUAUUUCUUUCAUGGAUUAUGUCCUAUGGGCUAGCUGGAGCUAGCUAAUACUGGGAUUUCUCAAAUGAAUAUCAGGGUGCAGGAUCUGUUGUACGAGUCAUGCAACCCAACCAAAGAAAUAGAUAAUAACUAUAUUCAAUUGUCUAGUGAGAGUUUCUUCCUAAGUUUUGCGAAGAUGUAAAAUAUUUAACUGGUGUUGGUCUUAGUUAUUUUCUCGACCCAUGCAAUAUUUAACAGUCCCUAUUCAGAAAACUAUUCUAUUUUACAUUACAAAACAAUUGUGAUGCAGUCUGGCAUCCAGUAGGUGCGACAACA